rnacentral:lncRNA from 1 species
AACUAGGCUUUUCUCUGAGAAAAAGAAUAGCCUUGAUUGUGCUUGAACUAGGUAGUUGUAUCAAUGUAGCUGCAAUCUUGAAUAUUGAUCAUAGGGUGAUGAUAGAGGAACUCAAUAUCAUCCAUCUCAAUCGACUCUUCUUCCUCAACUGAUCAAACGCUUAGUAGCUAUGGUCGGUUACUGCCUUAUAAGUUCAACUCUGGGUGAUGUAUGCCUUUCAGUAAGAUCACCACCAUUAGUUGUCUGUUUAGAGAAGCUACGAUCUUGAUGAUUCCGUCCUAGUUGAUUGCCACACUAGAGUGUCAAAAUCGAUAGGAGAGGAGCCUCAUUUGUAGAAGCCUUGAAUCAUUUCAAGCCCUGUUAAGCCACGGAUGGUUGGUUAAUGUGCCGUCAUUGCUUACUCAUGUAUAUAUGCGUUUCAGUAAUAUCACCACAGUAAUUUGUUUAGUUACUUUCUUUUAGUUUAGAGUAGAACAGCUUCA